rnacentral:snRNA from 1 species
AGAUAUGAGGACAAUCUGGCUGUGACAUCUGUCACUCAUGAUUGUCUGAGCCCAUUCAGCUGGUCUGUGUUAGGAGGGAGUCUCGUUUCUCCCUCCUGGGUCCAUGAGUUUCCCCCACUUGAAGCUGCACCCUUAGUUGAUGUACCCCUUCCCUGCCAGAGAGGGACCGUUCUUCACUCAAGAGUGUUGAAGCAGCUGUCGGCCCCACCACCUCCUCACCCCAUUAGAACCUCCAAAAGAACACACAAACAACUACAAAAUAAAGAAUAAGAUCACCAUUCUAGAGCCAGGCCUGGUGACAGGACCCAGCAAUUU